UCCAUCGAGGACACGUGGCCUGAAGCCAGCCCCUGUGUCUGGCAGCCGAGAUCGGGUGCAGCAAAUUACUCCAGCACAGCUUUUUAAGUUGUGGUCAUUUGUGUGUGUAAGGGAGACCCUUUGGGCAUCUCGCUGCCUCGCAGGAGCCGUUCGGUGCUUGGAUAUCUCAUUGUGAUGGAUUCUGCUUGGGCAGACGAAACCUGCCCGUGUGUGAGGGGAGCACGUUGCUGUUAUUGCUGGGGGGUUGAGCAACGAGUCCUGCCCAGGAGAGGGGGCUUCCGGGCAAGCGCUACAGGUGCUGGGCAGAUGCUCCCCCUACCUGGGUCUCCUUCCAGCAGGUUUUGACUUCAAGGUGCAGUUCAGCUCCUUUCAGCGGGGUGUCAGUGCUAAGGGCUCUUAAAUGUAAAAUGAAGCUGAAUCUCUGGUGUCCCGGAGGGGCUGCAUGUCCCAGCCGUACGGUGAGGUCUGUCUGGGGGCAGAGUUGCAAUUUCUUGGCUGUUUGUGGCUUCUUCUCUCCCAAGCUGCUUAAAAACAGAAAAAUGAAGGUGCACAAGGAGGCAGCCUGCAAUUCCUAGCAACCUUCCCAUUUACCUGUUUUGAAGCACCACGUGCCUUUGGAGACGAGCACAAUUUAAUCUGGCAGCGCAGCAGAGAGCGGUGUUUGGGCCUACCAAAGCAAUUCCCCGCUUAACUUCACUGCUGCCUUUUAUUUUGAGUAUGUUCUCAUUAUUUAUGGGUUUUCUCUGUUAAAUGGGAAAGCUGUGAGGUGUGCUAAAACUUCCAGAUGAGUUUCCUGAGGACGGCAAUGCUCACGCUGCUGGGGCAGGGGGCGGGAUGGGAGCUGCCCUGGCUGGAGCUGGGGCGCGGGCGCUGCGGGGCUGUGUUUGGGGUGGGAGGGCAAAACCCACAGCUCCCCCCUGCUCCUCCUGCGCACGCCCGGGGGGAAGCUUCUCGCUUCUCCACGGCGUGAAAACCAUUGAGAAACACCGAACUGGAGACGUGAAAAAUGUCACUUCCAAUUUAAAUGUCCUGAUGGAGCAGAAGCAACGCUUGGGGGGUAUUUUCUGGAGCGUGGUACACGAUGACCUGGGAAGGAACUCAGAUUUGGGGGCAGAAGGAGAGCGGGCCGGCACGAGCAGCGGUGCUGGGGGCUGUGCUGACUCAGUUCUGCUUCCAAGGCGUUUUCUCCUCUGGGUUAUUUUAGGGCCCUGGGUUAUUUUAGGACCCCUCCCUUCUCCCAGCCCCAGCAGCCGUGCGCUAAGCUUCCUCAAUCCCCGCUUCCUCCCGUAAUUAAUAAACCCCCAGCGAGGCUGAGCUGCCGGCGCUAAUCGGAGCGCAGCGCGGGGCUGCUAAGAGGAUUGCUCGCUUUCUGUGCCGCUGGUUUCCCGUGUCAAUGGGGACACCUCGAGCACUGGGUCAGCAGCGGGGCAGAGCAGAGCACAGCAGCCCCGUGCCCCCUGCUUCCUCCCACCAUUUGCUCGUUCAGCGCCUUCCCCACUCCUGCGGCUCUGUUUUACCUACUCAGUACCCAUUUUGCGUAGGUCAUGGAAGUCAGCCCCAGGCUUUUCUUUCACGGAUCAUAGGAUCGGGCUUCGUAGUGCUGCGAGGGACCUCUGUGCCCUAGCUGCACUAACCAGCCCUCUUGCAGAGCGAUGCGGGUGUUGAUACCCCGCUUCCUUGCAGCACACUCAAAAAUACCCAAGCUGCCUACCUUGCCGCUUGGGAACAGCUGAGGAUGAAGUUUGCGCCUCGCAGGACUUCUGCAAAAUAAACAGAGCUCUCAGGAGCUGGCUUCCAUCUAUCACUUCUGCAACGGAGCUGCCGCGCUAGGUGUGUUGUCAUUAAGGCAUUUAAACAGGCACAGGUGGUUUAUUCAAGACGUUAUCUUGGAGCAGCCGUGGGAGCAUGAAGCUGCAGCCUGUCCGCUGCUCGCGUUGGACGGGGUGUCACCCCGGUGGCUGAAAUUUUUGGACACGGGCGUCUGCAGCCGCCCAGGGCUGCCCACCGCUUCUGGUAUUCCUCCAGGUGUUUGCGGCGCGCACAGCGCGCGCGUGUGCCGCUCUGCACUGCUGCCUUGCCGAGCCCAAAUAGCAGCGCCCCUGCCUCGUUUUUCAGUCUGCGGCUUGAAGCCUUGCUGGGAAUUGGAUCAGGGAGCGGCGCCGCCAGCAGUGACAUCUCUCUCCAUCACGCUGCGAGCUUUUCUCCUCCGCUGCGUCGCGGGCUCAGGGCUGGGAACACCACCAGCUUAUGCCGACGGUUAUCCUCUUUGCAGCCGGGCUCUCCAAGUGCCAGUGGUCCUGCCUGCUCCCCACGAGGGGCUUGGGGGCUCACGUCCCCGCCAGCCCCUCCUGAGCGUUGCUUGUCCUCCCUGCGCCUCACCAGGCUUCGUCCCGGGCACAGAGCCGCUUUGCCCAGCGCUGGAGGGGAUCUGCUCGCCCACCCUGCCGCCUGCCAGGUCUGCAGCCCGAGAUCCUGGACGUUAUCCGCGCCCGCCGGUAACUCAGCCGUGAAAUAUUUGCCGUGCUGUUACUCUCUGACAGCCCGGGUGGGCGCCGCUCCGUCCUGGUGCUGCUGAGGAGCAAUCGGCAGCUGGCAGUGAUGCUGCUUUUGCACGAAGCUUUGCCUAAGUGGGUUACUGUCGGAGAUUAGCUGGAAAUACCUCUGUUGAAAUAGCGCAUGGAUUAGAAAUAGACCUUUUCUCUGCAGUAAUAGGUCAUGGCAAUUUGCUUUCUAUUUUUUGCUGUCCUGCUCUGGCAUUUGUGCGCUGAUUUGAGCGUACGUCUGACCCGCAGCUUGGGCAGCGAGAGAGCUCAGGCACGGCUCUGCAGGUCUUUUCAAUUCUCAAUUUUCCACGUGG